UACAGUUUGAUCAUGGCUCAGAUUGAACGCCGGCGGCAUGCCUUACACAUGCAAGUCGAACGGCAGCACGGGAGCUUGNNNNUGGUGGCGAGUGGCGAACGGGUGAGUAAUACAUCGGAACGUACCCAGGAGUGGGGGAUAACGUAGCGAAAGUUACGCUAAUACCGCAUAUUCUGUGAGCAGGAAAGCGGGGGAUCGCAAGACCUCGCGCUCUUGGAGCGGCCGAUGUCGGAUUAGCUAGUUGGUGAGGUAAAAGCUCACCAAGGCGACGAUCCGUAGCAGGUCUGAGAGGAUGAUCUGCCACACUGGGACUGAGACACGGCCCAGACUCCUACGGGAGGCAGCAGUGGGGAAUUUUGGACAAUGGGGGCAACCCUGAUCCAGCCAUGCCGCGUGAGUGAAGAAGGCCUUCGGGUUGUAAAGCUCUUUCGGCGGGGAAGAAAUGGCAACGGCUAAUAUCCGUUGUUGAUGACGGUACCCGCAUAAGAAGCACCGGCUAACUACGUGCCGGCAGCCGCGGUAAUACGUAGGGUGCGAGCGUUAAACGGAAUUACUGGGCGUAAAGCGUGCGCAGGCGGUUUCGUAAGACAGACGUGAAAUCCCCGGGCUCAACCUGGGAACUGCGUUUGUGACUGCGAGGCUAGAGUACGGCAGAGGGGGGUAGAAUUCCACGUGUAGCAGUGAAAUGCGUAGAGAUGUGGAGGAAUACCGAUGGCGAAGGCAGCCCCCUGGGUUAGUACUGACGCUCAUGCACGAA
rnacentral:rRNA from 1 species